CUGGCUAUUCUCUUGUUUCCUCCGUCACUGUUACUAAACACGAAACAUGGCUUCGUCCGCCGCUCAGAUUCACGUCCUCGGCGGAAUUGGAAUCACAACUUCUUCCUCUUCUAAGAGGAAUCUCAAUGGUAAAAGCAGUUUCAUGCCAAGAAGCGCCUUCUUCGGCGCUAGAAACGGUCCUUUCACUACCCCAACCUCAGCCUUCUUGAGAAUGAGGAGUAGAAACGGCGGCUCCUCUAGGUACGCGGUAGGUCCGGUGCGUGUGGUCAACGAAAAGGUUGUUGGAAUCGAUUUGGGUACGACUAACUCCGCCGUAGCUGCAAUGGAAGGAGGCAAGCCAACGAUCGUGACGAACGCUGAAGGUCAGAGGACGACUCCGUCUGUGGUGGCUUACACUAAGAGCGGAGAUAGGCUUGUUGGGCAGAUUGCGAAGAGGCAAGCUGUGGUUAAUCCGGAGAACACUUUCUUCUCGGUGAAGAGGUUUAUUGGUAGGAGGAUGAACGAAGUAGCUGAGGAGUCUAAGCAGGUUUCUUAUAGAGUCGUUAAAGAUGAGAACGGGAACGUCAAGCUUGAGUGUCCCGCCAUUGGUAAACAGUUUGCUGCUGAGGAGAUUUCAGCUCAGGUAUUCAAAUUUUAUAUUUUUGAGUUCUAUUGUGUUCCUAUUUUUGUUGUGUGUGUUUGGUUUCUUAUGGGGGUUUGUUUAUAUGUGUUUUAGGUUUUGAGGAAACUUGUUGAUGAUGCGUCAAGAUUCUUGAACGAUAAAGUAACCAAGGCUGUUAUCACUGUGCCUGCUUACUUUAAUGACUCGCAGAGGACGGCUACUAAAGAUGCUGGUCGCAUUGCUGGGCUUGAUGUUCUUCGUAUUAUCAAUGAGCCCACUGCUGCUUCUUUGGCUUAUGGUUUUGAAAGGAAAAGCAAUGAGACAAUUCUUGUUUUUGAUCUUGGUGGUGGCACCUUUGAUGUCUCAGGUACUAUAUAUAUCGUCUUGAGAAAUUUGUUUUUAUGUCUUUUACUGUUUUUGAUGUAUUAAUAUGUAUCUUGGUGUGCAGUGCUUGAGGUUGGUGAUGGUGUGUUUGAAGUGCUUUCCACUUCUGGCGACACACAUUUGGGUGGAGAUGACUUUGACAAGGUUAGUCCAAUGCACUGUGAAGUUCUUAGUUUUGAAUCCGUUUGCUCCCCCUUCUGUGCUUUAAUUGACAGAUCUUAGUUUUGCAAUGCAGAGAGUUGUAGAUUGGCUCGCUUCAAAUUUCAAGAAAGAUGAAGGCAUUGAUCUUCUGAAAGACAAGCAAGCACUUCAGAGGUUGACAGAGGCAGCAGAGAAAGCUAAGAUUGAGCUCUCCUCUCUGACUCAAACAAAUAUGAGGUUCAUUUAAUUUUCUCGCCUAAAUUUAUGGCUUACUCGUUACACAGACAUGUGGAUUCUGAUUGAUAUUUAUUCUUUGCCCAGCUUGCCGUUUAUCACUGCCACAGCUGAUGGACCAAAACACAUAGAAACUACCCUCACACGUGCCAAGUUUGAAGAGUUAUGUUCAGAUUUACUUGACAGGUAAUUUCCCUUACAGUUCUUAUGACAAGUCAGCAGGUUUGCAAUGUGCUCAUUCUAUAGCUUUUGUUAUAUCAUGGAGGCUUAAGAUUCUCUUUGGCUCUAUCUUAUAGGUGUAAGACUCCUGUUGAGAAUUCCCUUAGAGAUGCAAAGCUCAGCUUCAGUGACAUUGACGAAGUGAUCCUUGUUGGUGGAUCCACACGUAUUCCUAAAACUUGAGAAACUCAUAACCAUAAUACAAACACACGCUUGUGGAAUCCAACGGCCAAGAAAAGCCCAUCCAGCUUCAUUUGUGCAGCCUCUCUUUCUGGAAACUUCAACUUGGCCCCGCACUUGUCUUCACCUUCCUCUCUUUAUCUUCUUUUAUAUCUUCUCAAUCUCUCCCCUUCCUUCCGUAGGGUUUAUCGUCGAAAUUUUCUGGCUAUUCUCUUGUUUCCUCCGUCACUGUUACUAAACACGAAACAUGGCUUCGUCCGCCGCUCAGAUUCACGUCCUCGGCGGAAUUGGAAUCACAACUUCUUCCUCUUCUAAGAGGAAUCUCAAUGGUAAAAGCAGUUUCAUGCCAAGAAGCGCCUUCUUCGGCGCUAGAAACGGUCCUUUCACUACCCCAACCUCAGCCUUCUUGAGAAUGAGGAGUAGAAACGGCGGCUCCUCUAGGUACGCGGUAGGUCCGGUGCGUGUGGUCAACGAAAAGGUUGUUGGAAUCGAUUUGGGUACGACUAACUCCGCCGUAGCUGCAAUGGAAGGAGGCAAGCCAACGA
rnacentral:lncRNA from 1 species